GAAAAGCCUCGGCUCACACAGCCGUCCAGACCCAGUAUUCUACACCAAAAUCCCAGGUAAAUUGGCUUCGUCUCCCCGCUCUGCGGCGAUGGAAGAAGGAGGAGGUGCAGAGCACCGCGAAUUCCAUCGCCACGGCCUCGCGCAGCCGCCUCGCCCUUCUCCGGCAUCUCGCGAUCCAUGGCAGGUUCGAGACACCCCCACCUCCUUGGCUCCGCCCUAGCCUCUCCCUCGUAGCUCUACUGGAUUCGCUCCGCUUACACCGUGCGAUGGCAGAGGCGAAUUGGGGCGUCGUUUGGUGUAUUCUGAUGGCGAUUCGUACGGUUCAGGUUCGUGAGAGCCGGUGAUUGAUUCGGCGCUGUUUGUGGUUCCGUCCCGGCAUUUUUGUGCGCCUCUGCCUACGAAGUGAGGCUUCGUGUGGUUUGUUUUCGGGGCAGUAGAGUUGCGUGUGGCUUCGUUAUGAUCAUUUGAUUGAUAGCUUUGAUUAGUCACCUCCUGAGUCGGGGUUUGUUCAUCAUCGUUUGAUACGAAGCGAGUUUUUUUGUCGAAUUGGUAGGCAUGUGCGGGAGCAGUUACCUGUUCUGUAUUACGUUUGGAGCCUGUUUCUGCAAUCUGAGCUAUCAAGUGUCCGAUCAUCAUCUACAAUCUGAGCAGUUAUUACCUGUUCAUGCCGUGCUCUGUAGAUUCCCGAGUCAAUUGCAAUAUCUUACACACAGCUCUGAUCAAAUUUUUGGAAUGUAUACAUGUGGAUCUCUAUUGCAGUUGUCUCAUAUGAAAUCCUGUUUGCAUAGCUGUUGCGCUAUGUUUAUGUCGCUGGGUUGUUGUGGUAAUUUUAUUUUUUAGCGAAUCACCUCAACAGCCUUCCGUUUUGCCUUGAAUCGGUGAAUCCAUUUGAUGCCAACUGCCCAAUCAUGUCUCGCUGUAGAGUUCAUGCGCUGAUAGUAGCCACCAAUAUCAGUUAAAAUGAAUGUUUCAGGGAAUGUAACUACUCUGGUAAUAUCAGUUAAAAUGCUUAAUAAGAAAUAUUGUCCACGUCUGUGUGAUCCAUGCCGUUGAAAGACAUGGCCAUCAAAUAGCUUGUUCACCCAACUAAAGUUCUAAUUAUCAUUCCAAAUGGUGUAUGAAUAUUUGAUUCUUCUAGAAAACAAACAACUGUUUGACCGAAGAAAACGAAUAAUUCCAUUUCUGUUUUUCUAUCUUACGAUCAGGAAUGUUUCAUUCUAUUUGAUUGAGAAAUAGUUAUUGAAAUCUUGCCAUUAUUUCAGACGUUUGUUGGAACAGACAGAUUAGUCAACAAAGAAAAAUUAAGUGGCGGAGAAUCUUCCUAAAAUGAAAUCAAGACGAUGAGAUAAGCAUGGAGAUUUAAUGUGGUUUGUUGGAGAUGCUUAAGGUAGGAGAUGAAGGACAGUUGGAAGGGGAUAAUGGAGGACAAUUAUAGCUUCACUAGAGCCUGGGGCGGAGAGGUGGGGGCCGUCUCUGCAGGUUCGCAGUGCAGCUGGGCCAAACAUCGCUUACAGUUUAAGCUGUAGCCUGUUAUGAAGUAAAAGCUGCGGAGGUACAGUUUCGGCCACUGUGUGCGGGAAGAUGAGAGGUCGAGGUACGGGAUUUAUUUGAUCACUCUAGUUUUUCUUUUUCAACUUAAUAAUUCUGUGGAUCCCUGUGUAUUUAUUUGAAUCCUGUAUGUUUACGUAGGAUUUUAUGCUGCACUGAUAUUUUAUAUGCACUGAUCUACGGCCGCUAUCUCCUGUUUAUUAUCUACUUCACAUAGGUUAUAUAUAUGAUCUUGUUUCCACUUGUUGGUGCUUGUAUAGAUAUUUUCAUUGGAUCCUUGUGUCAUAUUUAGUCUGUCUAUUUGGCAGUUGGCACUUGCUAUUCGCUAAUAUAGGAAGGUAAUCAGAUAACCAUAGAAUACGAAGUCAUACAAAAUGAUCAGAAAUCAGAAGCUGCCAUGUUGUUGUUGUUACAAGCUAGCCUAUGCUUGGAGAGACAAGCCUGCAGUGUGGCAUUAACACUGCAAGAUUGAGUGGUGGUUUGGAAAAUCUAAGCGUCUUGGGGAUAGAUUUAUUGUACCAUGGUUGGGUUGUGUAAUAAGGAUGAAAAUCAGCGAUAAUGACCAAACAUUCGUAAGAUGAGACUUUUCGAACUGGAUAAAUCACAUUCAAAUGCUCAGAUCUGUAAAUUGUGAAUUUUAAUAUAUUUAUUAAAGCCAGCACUUAUUCACCCAAAGAAAGCGAUGUUGGUGAAGACUUUAAACGGUGGACCGCAAACGAACGUGGCAACCUCAUCCUACUGUGUGUGUCCUCUCGUUGUACUAGAGUCUAGAUGAGUCUUGUACCUCUUCUGCAUACAUCAUAUCAACAAAAGUUGAUUUUGCUCGAAUCAAGCUUAGGGGGUGUUUGGUUCAGGGACUUUUUAGUCCCAGAGACUAGAAAAAGUCCCUAAAAAGUCCCUAAAAACCAAACAGGAUGGACUUUUUCUACAGGGACUAGAAAAAGACUCUAUUGGAGAGUCUUUUUUGAUUAGUCCUGGGACUGGAAAAAGUCCUAGGACUUCUAAACCAAACACCACCUUAUAUGUCAGCAAAGACCAUUUAGCUCAGGAGCUGACACCACAUAAAUUUAUUCUGCGUAAAUCAACCUGACCGUAGAUUGUCCUGCUGGUAUUUGCAUUGUUCAAUAGUCUCUAAGGUUAACCACUCCCUCUUGCAAGUAAUAGUAAAGUUGGUCCCAUGGGCCCAUGCAAGUCAAGGUAGUUUGUGAGUUUAUUUGAGACAUCAGGUCCUCCAAGUAGUUGUUUCUUUGAUUCUAGAACAGUGCAUGGUGCAGUUAACCAGCUAGCAGACCCUCUCGUGAAUCACUGCUGAUCUGGUCGAGUGCCAGAACGCAGCAAUGAAUCCAUACCAUAGAAUCACGGAGGGGAGGGGUCGGACAUUCAUGUAGGUCCUGCGAGAAAUUAUGGUGUGGCGCACCAAGCUUGACUUUGACAACUUGUCUGUGCAGCAGUAGCAAUUGGCACAUGUAGGUUCCACGGGGCACUCAGCGAGAUUCAAUCUUAACGUGACAUUUAGGCCGACCUUUUAUUAUGGAUCGCUGGUGAGUGUCCUUCCCAUGCUCCUCUUGCCGG
rnacentral:lncRNA from 1 species